GAUCCUGGCUCAGGAUGAACGCUAGCGACAGGCUUAACACAUGCAAGUCGAGGGGCAGCACGGGAGUAGCAAUACAACUGGUGGCGACCGGCGCACGGGUGAGUAACGCGUAUGCAACCUACCUAUCAGGAGGGGAAUAACCCGGCGAAAGUCGGACUAAUACCGCAUAAAACAGGGGCACCGCAUGGUGAUAUUUGUUAAAGAAAUUCGCUGAUAGAUGGGCAUGCGUUCCAUUAGGUAGUUGGUGAGGUAACGGCUCACCAAGCCGACGAUGGAUAGGGGAACUGAGAGGUUGGUCCCCCACACUGGUACUGAGACACGGACCAGACUCCUACGGGAGGCAGCAGUGAGGAAUAUUGGUCAAUGGGCGAGAGCCUGAACCAGCCAAGUCGCGUGAAAGGAAGAAGGAUCUAUGGUUCGUAAACUUCUUUUGCAGGGGAAUAAAGUGCAGGACGUGUCCUGUUUUGUAUGUACCCUGAGAAUAAGGAUCGGCUAACUCCGUGCCAGCCGCAGC
rnacentral:rRNA from 1 species